rnacentral:piRNA from 1 species
AGCAAACACAGGGGUAGUCCAUGGA